rnacentral:rRNA from 1 species
UACAGAGGUCCCAAGCGUUGUUCGGAUUCACUGGGCGUAAAGGGUGCGUAGGUGGCUUGGUAAGUUUGAUGUGAAAUCUCCGGGCUUAACCCAGAAAUGGCAUUGAAUACUAUUGAGCUGGAGGUUUGGAGGGGGGACUGGAAUUCUCGGUGUAGCAGUGAAAUGCGUAGAUAUCGAGAGGAACACCAGUGGCGAAGGCGAGUCCCUGGACAACACCUGACACUGAGGCACGAAAGCUAGGGGAGCAAACAGG